rnacentral:misc_RNA from 1 species
AAGUCGUAACAAGGUUUCCGUAGGUGAACCUGCGGAAGGAUCAUUAACACGUAUUCCACGUGCCCCACUCUGUGCACCUGUUUCUCCCUGGUUUUUCUCACAUGAUCGUGUGCCUUGUGGUGUCGAUUUGAGACGGUCGACGGCCAUUGACGCACUUGGACGCGCCUUCACGGGCAGUUUUCUAAAUCAUUUGCCACGAUGGAGUGAGUAACCAGGCUCCCUCUGCUUCUCCGGGCGCCCUCAACGCUCGGGUUGUGGAACACAACACUAUUUUCACCCCUUUUUUGCUAGUUGACUUUGACUGUGCUUGUUGCUUGUAAAGCGGCAGCGCACGUUUGAUGUAAUUGAACGUAAAAUGUACAACUCUUAGCAAUGGAUAUCUUGGUUCUC